UAUUGGACAAUGGGCGAAAGCCUGAUCCAGCAAUACCGCGUGUGUGAAGAAGGCCUUAGGGUUGUAAAGCACUUUCAAUUGGGAGGAAAACCUACCGGUCAAUACCCGGUAGCUUGACAUUACCUUUAGAAGAAGCACCGGCUAACUCCGUGCCAGCAGCCGCGGUAAUACGGAGGGUGCGAGCGUUAAUCGGAAUUACUGGGCGUAAAGCGUGCGUAGGCGGUUCGUUAAGUCAGAUGUGAAAGCCCUGGGCUCAACCUGGGAACGGCAUUUGAAACUGGCGGACUAGAGUUUAGUAGAGGGGAGUGGAAUUUCAGGUGUAGCGGUGAAAUGCGUAGAUAUCUGAAGGAACACCAGUGGCGAAGGCGACUCCCUGGACUAGAACUGACGCUGAGUACGGG
rnacentral:rRNA from 1 species